CAGCUAACUCGCGAGAGUAUGCAAAUACUCAAAAAGACCAUCCUCAGUUCGGAUUGGAGUCUGCAACUCGACUCCAUGAAGUUGGAAUCGCUAGUAAUCGCGGAUCAGCAUGCCGCGGUGAAUACGUUCCCGGGCCUU
rnacentral:rRNA from 1 species